GACGAACGCUGGCGGCGUGCUUAACACAUGCAAGUCGAACGGAAAGGCCCUGCGUUUGUGGGGUGCUCGAGUGGCGAACGGGUGAGUAACACGUGAGUAACCUGCACUUGACUUUGGGAUAACUUCAGGAAACUGGGGCUAAUACCGGAUAGGAGCUCCUGCUGCAUGGUGGGGGUUGGAAAGUUUCGGCGGUUGGGGAUGGACUCGCGGCUUAUCAGCUGGUUGGUGGGGUAGUGGCUUACCAAGGCUUUGACGGGUAGCCGGCCUGAGAGGGUGACCGGCCACCUUGGGACUGAGAUACGGCCCAGACUCCUACGGGAGGCAGCAGUGGGGAAUAUUGCACAAUGGGCGGAAGCCUGAUGCAGCAACGCCGCGUGCGGGAUGACGGCCUUCGGGUUGUAAACCGCUUUCGCCUGUGACGAAGCGUGAGUGACGGUAAUGGGUAAAGAAGCACCGGCUAACUACGUG
rnacentral:rRNA from 1 species